CCUACGGGAGGCAGCAGUGGGGGAUAUUGCACAAUGGGGGGAACCCUGAUGCAGCGACGCCGCGUGGGUGAAGGAGUGCUUCGGCAUGUAAAGCCCUAUCGGCAGGGAAGAAGCAAGACGGUACCUGACUAAGAAGCCCCGGCUAACUACGUGCCAGCAGCCGCGGUAAUACGUAGGGGGCGAGCGUUAUCCGGAUUCACUGGGUGGAAAGGGAGCGUAGACGGCCAGGCAAGCCAGGGGUGAAAGCCCGGGGCCCAACCCCGGGACUGCCCUUGGAACUGCAUGGCUGGAGUGCGGGAGGGGCAGGCGGAAUUCCUGGUGUAGCGGGGAAAUGCGUAGAUAUCAGGAGGAACACCGGCGGCGAAGGCGGCCUGCUGGACCGCGACUGACGUUGAGGCUCGAAAGCGUGGGGAGCGAACAGGAUUAGAUACCCCAGUAGUC
rnacentral:rRNA from 1 species